AUACAGAGGGUGCGAGCGUUAAUCGGAAUUACUGGGCGUAAAGCGCGCGUAGGCGGCUUAUUAAGUCAGAUGUGAAAUCCCAGGGCUCAACCUUGGAACUGCAUCUGAUACUGGUAAGCUAGAGUUUAGGAGAGGGAAGUAGAAUUUCAGGUGUAGCGGUGAAAUGCAUAGAGAUCUGAAGGAAUACCAGUGGCGAAGGCGACUUCCUGGCCUAAAACUGACGCUGAGGUGCGAAAGCGUGGGUAGCAAACAGGAUUAGAAACCCUAGUAGUCC
rnacentral:rRNA from 1 species